rnacentral:rRNA from 1 species
ACGCUCGACACCUACGGGUGGCAGCAGUUGGGAAUAUUGGACAAUGGAGGAAACUCUGAUCCAGUGACGCCGCGUGAAGGAAGAAGGUCUUCGGAUUGUAAACUUAUUUUGUCAGGGAAGAAAAAAUGACUGUACCUGAAGAAAAGCACCGGCUAACUACGUGUCAGCAGCCGCGGUAAUCUGAGCGGGCUGGCAAGGC